rnacentral:misc_RNA from 1 species
GAUGAAGAACGUAGCUAAAUGCGAUACGUAAUGUGAAUUGCAAAUUCAGUGAAUCAUCGAGUCUUUGAACGCACAUUGCGCCCCCUGGUAUUCCGGGGGGCAUGCCUGUCCGAGCGUCAUUGCUGCCCUCAAGCACGGCUUGUGUGUUGGGCCCCGUCCUCCGAUCCCGGGGGACGGGCCCGAAAGGCAGCGGCGGCACCGCGUCCGGUCCUCGAGCGUAUGGGGCUUUGUCACCCGCUCUGUAGGCCCGGCCGGCGCUUGCCGAUCAACCCAAAUUUUUUAUCCAGGUUGACCUCGGAUCAGGUAGGGAUACCCGCUGAACUUAAGCAUAUCAAUAAGCGGAGGA